UUUGAUACUUAAUUAGUUAAUUGUAUUCUGCUGCUAUGUUUGUAGAGUGUUUACAUGAAGUGGUGAUAGUAAGAAAGCUUAUACACAAAUCAUUUCCACACCUAUACUCCUAUAGUACACACACAAAAAUGAAUCAAAAAACAUGGUUCUAUGUAGGUGGUGAUUGUAAGAAAGCUUAUACACAAAUCAUUUCCACAUCUUGUGCUUUCCAAACAUGCCCCCCUUCUGCCUUCCAAACAUCCCAUGCUUCCAUCUGUUCCCAAACUUUCCAUCUGUUCACAAACGUUUUGUGUUUUAUCUCUUAACGGGUCAAAUGGAUAGAUUUAAAAAAAAAAUAGCUGAAAUGGAACUGGUUAAACGAGUAGACUCUAUAAAAAAUAGUUAAAAUGAUGCGGGUCAAAUGAUACAGGGAAAUAGGUACUUUUAGCUUGACCAAGUUGAUGUGUUUUAUGUUUUAUCUCUUAACAGGUCAAAUGUAUAAAUUUUUAAAAAAUUAGCUGAAAUGGAACUGGUUAAACGAGUAGACUCUAUAAAAAGUAGUUAAAAUGAUGUGGGUCAAACAAAUCGAAAGUUGUGAAAGUUUUUUUUAACACACAUUACCUCGUAAAUUUGUUUAUAGAUUAUUAUUAUUAUUAUUAUUAUUAUUAUUAUUAUUAUUACUAUGGUAUAGUUUUGUACUAACAUCUAUUUACGAUGAGCAGUAUUCUGGGUCAAAUGGGUAAUAUAUUAUAAAUUAGCUGAAAAUGAAAUGGGUCAAGCAAGUAGAUUCUAAAAAAUUAACUAAAAUGAAACGGGUUAGAUAAAUCAGCAGUUGUGAAAGUUUUUUAAUACACAUUACCUCGUAAUAAAUUUGCUUAUAGAAGGUUAUUAUUACGGUGAACAGUAUUCUGGGUCAACUCGACCCAUUUCGACCAUCAUACAAUUACUCCUUUUAAAAGUCUUGCAGCUGGUUACGCAGGCCGGUACGCAGCUUAUUCGCAGCCGGUACGUAGCUUAUUCGCACGAUUUUGGUCACCAUGGUAAGUUUAAACAUGGUAAGUUCAAGCAUGGAAAGUUUGGGAACAGAUGGAAGCAUAGGAUGUUUGGAAGGCACAAGGGGGGCAUGUUUGGAAAGCACAAGAUGUGGAAAUGAUUUGUGUAUAAGCUUUCUUCCUAUCACCACCUACAGAGAACAAUGUUUUCCAUUGUUACCACUUACCAGUUAAUUGGUUUUAGAUCCAGAGGAAGAACGUCGAUGGAUGGCUCAAGAAGUACGCAGUUACGUUGAAGCAGUUCUCAACACCCUUGCUGCCAAUGUCCAAAGGCAGUUGUUCAUUGCCAAGUAGAAAAGGCUAAAGAAGAUAGCUCAAUAAACUAGUUUUGUAAGUUUAGCUGCUAUAUCUCGUCCUCCUUGUCUUGUAUAGUAUUAGUAGAGAAUCUGUCAGUUGGAAUACUAGCAGGAAUGGUCAAUCUAAUGGUGCCAUUGCAUUGAUGGAAGUAUUCAAAUACCAUCGGUUGAUAAAUUUCCUGAUAAAAGUGGAAAGAAAGAAUGCGUGGCUAAAUCUGCAGCUGAAACUAAACCUCAAGCUGUUAUGCUGAAAUAACGUCAGGCUUAUGUGGUUUGAACUUAGAACAUGUUUAAAAAAAUUCUUAGUGCUUACAAAUUUUUUUCAUCUGGUUUAUCAAAUUUUCACUUGAAUGAUGAUCAAAGUUUGACUUUUCAUGGUUAAAUGUUCACCUUCAAAUGCAUAAUCAUUGUUAACUAUAUAGUGAUUGUUAUAGAA